rnacentral:rRNA from 1 species
UACGGAGGGUGCGAGCGUUGUCCGGAUUUAUUGGGUUUAAAGGGUGCGUAGGUGGCUUAGUAAGUCAGUGGUGAAAUACAGCCGCUCAACGGUUGAGGUGCCAUUGAUACUGUUAAGCUUGAAAUAAUUGGAGGCUGCCGGAAUGGAUGGUGUAGCGGUGAAAAUGCAUAGAUAUCAUCCAGAACACCGAUUGCGAAGGCAGGUGGCUACGAUUUAUUUGACACUGAGGCACGAAAGCAUGGGGAGCAAACAGG